GACGUAGGGCGCGAGCGUUGUCCGGAUUUAUUGGGCGUAAAGAGCUCGUAGGCGGUUCGACAAGUCGGGUGUGAAAACUCCGGGCUCAACCCGGAGACGCCACCCGAUACUGUCGUGACUGGAGUCCGGUAGGGGAGUGGGGAAUUCCUGGUGUAGCGGUGAAAUGCGCAGAUAUCAGGAGGAACACCGGUGGCGAAGGCGGCAUCCUGGACCAACACUGACGCUGAGGAGCGAAAGCCAGGGGAGCAAACGGG
rnacentral:rRNA from 1 species